CCUACGGGAGGCAGCAGUGAGGAAUCUUGGUCAAUGGGAGAGAUCCUGAACCAGCCAAGCCGCGUGCGGGAAGAAGGUCCUAUGGGUUGUAAACCUCUUUUGUCGGAGAACAAAACCUGGGACGUGUCCCCGACUGCGUGUAUCUGAAGAAAAAGCAUCGGCUAACUCCGUGCCAGCAGCCGCGGUAAUACGGAGGAUGCGAGCGUUAUCCGGAUUUCUUGGGUUUAAAGGGUGCGAAGGCGGUCCGGUAAGUCAGCGGUAAAAUUGCGGGGCUCAACCCCGUCGCGCCGUUGAAACUGGGUGACUUGAGUGGGCGAGAAGUACGCGGAAUGCGCGGUGUAGCGGUGAAAUGCAUAGAUAUCGCGCAGAACUCCGAUUGCGAAGGCAGCGUACCGGCGCCAAACUGACGCUGAGGCACGAAAGCGUGGGGAUCGAACAGGAUUAGAUACCCUAGUAGUC
rnacentral:rRNA from 1 species